rnacentral:rRNA from 1 species
UACGUAGGGUGCAAGCGUGUCCGGAAUUAUUGGGCGUAAAGAGCUCGUAGGCGGUUUGUCGCGUCUGCUGUGAAAACCUAGGGCUUAACCCUGGGCCUGCAGUGGGUACGGGCAGACUAGAGUGCGGUAGGGGAGACUGGAAUUCCUGGUGUAGCGGUGAAAUGCGCAGAUAUCAGGAGGAACACCGGUGGCGAAGGCGGGUCUCUGGGCCGUAACUGACGCUGAGGAGCGAAAGCAUGGGGGAGCGAACAGG